AUACUUACCUGGCAGGGGUGAUAUCAUGAUCAUGAAGGCAGUUUCCUAGGGUGAGGCUUAUCCAUUGCUCUCUGGAUGUGCUGACCCCUGCGAUUUCACCAAAGGUGGGAACCUGGCUAAUGAUUUGUGAUGAUGGGGGCUGCAUUUGCACUCUCCCC